UUGCUCUUAUGAAGUUAGCGGCGGACGGGUGAGUAACACGUGGGUAACCUGCCCCUGGGACUGGCAUACGUCCCUGAAACCGGGGCUAAUACCGGAUAACAUUUUGAACUGCAUGGUUCGAAAUUGAAAGGCGGCUUCGGCUGUCACUUAUGGAUGGACCCGCGUGCAUUAGCUAGUUGGUGAGGUAACGGCUCACCAAGGCAACGAUGCGUAGCCGACCUGAGAGGGUGAUCGGCCACACUGGGACUGAGACACGGCCCAGACUCCUACGGGAGGCAGCAGUAGGGAAUCUUCCGCAAUGGACGAAAGUCUGACGGAGCAACGCCGCGUGAGUGAUGAAGGCUUUCUGGUCGUAAAACUCUGUUGUUAGGGAAGAACAACUGCUAGUUGAAUAAGCUGGCACCUUGACGGUACCUAACCUGAAACCCACGGCUAACUACGUGCCACCAGCCGCGGUA
rnacentral:rRNA from 1 species